UCACCGGGGGCAGCGGGCGGCUGUUCGGGGCCGAGAUCCCCGAGGCCCGCAUCGCACGCGAGAUCCUCGUCUCGGCCGGUGUC
rnacentral:tRNA from 1 species